rnacentral:sRNA from 1 species
CGCUGAGCUUGGCAAGGUCACCGUGAAUCGUGGCCUGAUGGGUAGAUCGCAUGAUUUGCUGCAUCGUUACACCUCGCUUCCUCCUUGCAGUCAGCCGCCUUCCGGGGCGUAUCCAUCAAACGUGAGAGCAACAGGGAGUCAGUCGAGAUGUCCGAUCGCGAAACCGGCAUUGUCAAGUGGUUCAAUGACGCCAAGGGCUUCGGCUUCAUCAGCCGCGAGAAUGGCGAAGACGUGUUUGUGCACUUCCGCGCCAUCCAGACCCAGGGCUUCAAGAGCCUGAAGGAAGGCCAGAAGGUCACCUUCACCGUGGUCCAGGGGCAGAAGGGCCUGCAGGCUGACGCCGUGCAGCCGGUCUGAUACAGCCCGCGGAACAGCACAAAGGAAAAGGCCCGCGAACGCGGGCCUUUUCCA